rnacentral:rRNA from 1 species
UACGGGGGGGGCAAGCGUUGUUCGGAUUUACUGGGCGUAAAGCGCACGUAGGCGGAUCGAUCAGUCAGGGGUGAAAUCCCAGAGCUCAACUCUGGAACUGCCUUUGAUACUGAAGAUCUUGAGUUCGGGAGAGGUGAGUGGAACUGCGAGUGUAGAGGUGAAAUUCGUAGAUAUUCGCAAGAACACCAGUGGCGAAGGCGGCUCACUGGCCCGAUACUGACGCUGAGGCACGAAAGCGUGGGGAGCAAACAGG